GUUCAGGUCAUGAUGUCGCUUGGCUCUGCUGUGAGGCUGCUGCACAGAAUGAGAACCGAAAUGCCCGAGUUGAGAAUUUGUAAGCGUGUUGGCGACUGUCCCUCCAAGAAAGUUUCGGAAGACAACAGCCCUGACCCGAAGUUUAGGGGUCUUGUUCAAAGGCACUGAAGAGCCGAGGGGGAUUUUCAAACGACACCAUCUUCUAAGCGAUUUGAACUUCAUCUAUCUACCGUGUCACACGGCGACUGGUUUCACGGAAGCGAAUUGUGGCACUUUGCCAUCAUCGUCACCCUGACCAUCGUCCGCCAGAGAGGGUGAGGCUGACUGCGCGUCCCUGCUUCCAAGGAAGGGGUGGCCACUGCACCACUGGGACCGAACCGAUGCACGCUCGCUGGAGUGCCCCGGCCCCCUGGACGCUCUGGUCCGGCCCUCUCCUGCUUGGGGCUGACGGUCGCCGGGGGCCCCUCCCCCCCUGUGUACACCUUGGCUUGGUGCGUGUUUCUUUUUGGGUGGGAAUGGAGGGCGGUUUCCCUCAGAUGGGACGUGUACAGACGUCAAAUAAACCUGACAGAUGUCCAUAAAACGAAAAAGCAAA